UACGUAGGGUGCAAGCGUUAAUCGGAAUUACUGGGCGUAAAGCGUGCGCAGGCGGUUUUGUAAGUCAGAUGUGAAAUCCCCGGGCUUAACCUGGGAACUGCGUUUGAAACUACAAGGCUAGAGUGUGGCAGAGGGGGGUGGAAUUCCACGUGUAGCAGUGAAAUGCGUAGAGAUCCGGAAGAACACCGGUGGCGAAGGCGGCCCGCUGGGCUGUUGCUGACGCUGAGGCGCGACAGCGUGGGGAGCAAACAGG
rnacentral:rRNA from 1 species